rnacentral:misc_RNA from 1 species
AUCUCUCAACUACUGUAGCCUUUCUUGCUAGGCUAGAGUGAAGUUGGACUUUGGAGGAUGGGAUUGCUGGCGCAAGUGUUUGCUUGUCGGCUCCUCUUAAAUGAAAAUGCACCUUCUGAUCAUAGUGAAAGUAGCAGCAAUGUGAUAACUGGUUUACGUUGGAUGCGAACAGCUAUGAAAAGACUUCUACAUAACA